AUUGAACGCUGGCGGCAGGCCUAACACAUGCAAGUCGAACGGUAACAGGAAGAAGCUUGCUUCUUUGCUGACGAGUGGCGGACGGGUGAGUAAUGUCUGGGAAACUGCCUGAUGGAGGGGGAUAACUACUGGAAACGGUAGCUAAUACCGCAUAACGUCGCAAGACCAAAGAGGGGGACCUUCGGGCCUCUUGCCAUCGGAUGUGCCCAGAUGGGAUUAGCUAGUAGGUGGGGUAACGGCUCACCUAGGCGACGAUCCCUAGCUGGUCUGAGAGGAUGACCAGCCACACUGGAACUGCGACACGGUCCAGACUCCUACGGGAGGCAGCAGUGGGGAAUAUUGCACAAUGGGCGCAAGCCUGAUGCAGCCAUGCCGCGUGUAUGAAGAAGGCCUUCGGGUUGUAAAGUACUUUCAGCGGGGAGGAAGGGAGUAAAGUUAAUACCUUUGCUCAUUGACGUUACCCGCAGAAGAAGCACCGGCUAACUCCGUG
rnacentral:rRNA from 1 species